UCGUCAAAAGCUCGUGCUCAGUUCGAUCUUAGUCGAGCCGAGCUUAAGCUCGAAUCGGCUCGCCUACAAGAGCGAGUCGAGUUCGAACGAGGCAAAACCGGCUCGCCAAGCUCGUCUGAUUGCCACAAUUCACUAUUUCUUUUUUGAGAUUGCUCUGUUAUAUAUGGAUGUUCAUCUUUGUUGUUCAUGUUUGUUCUGCAGUUAGUGAGAGGUCAAGCGAAGGAAAUCAAGCAACAUAUGUAAGAGAAGGGGAUGGACCCUGAGUCUGUGGCUGAGGGUCAAAAACAAAUUGAGAAGCUUUACAAGGAGUAAGCAGCUUAUCCAGAUCGGCUGGGUUCCGACUGAAGCUGAAGAUUGAAGACUAGACUGACAGCUUCCCUGCAUCUUCAAACUUCUCCGGUUUUUGGGUUUUGAGCUUUUGAUUUAUUUUCUGGAAUUUAUUUGUUUCAUUUUGUUUUGUGGUAAUGGGUUGUUGUUUGCUUGAUUUAGGAUAUGGUCUUCAGGACAUGAUUUAUCUCUUUAUUCCAUCUUUUGGCUUGGGCAUGUCUUUUGAUUUUGGUUGUCUGAUUGCCACAGCCCACAGGUGACUACUUGACCUUGAUUUCAUAAUAUGAGAGACUGAAUUAUGUA